rnacentral:tRNA from 1 species
UCCCGGUUGGUGUAGCUGGCAGCACGCCGGACUUUGGAUCCGUGAGCCCAGGUUCGAGCCCUGGACCGGGAGCCG